rnacentral:tRNA from 1 species
UAGAGUGUAGCUCAAGUGGUAGAGCACAUGGUUAGCAUGCAUGAGGUCCUGGGUUCAAUCCCCAGUGCCUUUC